GAUGAACGCUAGCGGCAGGCCUAACACAUGCAAGUCGAGGGGUAGAAAUAGCUUGCUAUUUUGAGACCGGCGCACGGGUGCGUAACGCGUAUGGAAUCUACCUUUUACUAAGGGAUAGCCCGAAGAAAUUCGGAUUAAUACCUUAUGGUUUUAUGAUUUGGCAUCAAAUUAUAAAUAAAGAUUUAUCGGUAAGAGAUGAUCAUGCGUCCCAUUAGCUAGUUGGUAUGGUAACGGCAUACCAAGGCUAUGAUGGGUAGGGGUCCUGAGAGGGAGAUCCCCCACACUGGUACUGAGACACGGACCAG
rnacentral:rRNA from 1 species